UCGGUGAGGAAUGUACCAAAGACUCCAUUCCUCCCACGGCUGAAAAAAUAGGUCAUCGGGUGCGUGGGGAAUCUGCACAUUUAAUUGUCAUUUUUUAAAAGCAGCAAAGAGCAGGCCUUCUUUGGUUGUUCUCAGACAUCUCGUCUCAGUGGAACCUUACGAGACCAGGAGUUAAGACUUGGGCUUCAAACAGGUUCGCUUGCAAAGAAAAGUCCUGGGUGUGAACCAGGACACGUAAACCAGUCCGAGGCAGGGUGGGAGCCACAACGGGUAGGGGGUAAAGAAAGGGUCCCGAUCCUUAGUCCUCAAUGGGACCAAAGGUCACGGCAGAAAACAGGUGGGCCAUGAAGACGAAGGGCCUGACAAAGACAAGAUACAUCUCUGAAGUGACUGCUGAACUCUACAUAAACCAGCACUGCUGUGUAUAGAGCCAUCCUGAAUGCGGCCAUUGAAGGGGGCCUGUGGCGGGCCGCCAGCAAGGACACGUGCCAGGGCGGAGCCGGGGUCUCUCAUACCCGCAGCCCUCUUACUCUAGCCCAUUUGUCUGUCUGACCAGCAAACAUUAAAACCAUUUUCCUCUAUUGGUAGGGACGGACUGUGUUUUUUAUUUUUAAAUAACUACCUUCUACUUCAUUCCUGAAACUCAUUGGCGCUUGCUCAAAAGGCCUCUUCCGCUGGUGCUGGAAAUUCACUGCCUGACAGCAAAGAUCCGGAAGGCCUUUCCAUCCCGAGGAGUCCCCAGGCUGAAAAAAAGAAGAAAGAGGGCCCGUUACUGAGAGAUCUGGAGGGCCUCCUGCAGGGACUCUGGGUGGGUCCAGGAAGGGGCCAGGCUGGAGAGGAGACCCGGAAGGUGGGAGGAGGGGAGCAUUAAAUUGACGGGAGGCCAUUGUUUUGGACUGGGCUAGGCCCAACAGACCAAACCAAAUCAGAUCGGAGUCACCCUGCUAGGUGCCACCUCAUCAAACUGAACUUAGAAAUGGGCUGGUUUUAGGCCAGGCACGGUGGAUCAUUCCUGUAAUCCCAGCACUUUGGGAGGCUGAGGUGGGCAGAUCACUUGAAGUCAGGCUCACACCUGUACUCCCAGCACUUUGGGAGGCUGAGGUGGGCGGAUCACUUGAGGUCACGAAUUCGAGACCAGCCUGGCCAACAGGUGUGGUGGCGGGUGCCUGUAAUCCCAGCUACCUGGGAGGCUGAGGCAGGAUAAUCACUGAACCCAGGAGGCAGAGGUUGCAGUGAGUGGAGAUCGCGCCACUGCAUCCCAGCCUGGGCAACAGAGGGAGACUCCAUCUCCAAAAAAAAAAAAAAAGGAUUCCAAUCUUGUUCUCCCAGAGUCUCACCCCUCUAUUGAUCCCUCAGGAAAAUUUCAAAGUUAGACAGGUACAGGUUUAGCUCUCAUCUUUAGGACCUUGGGCUGGUUAACCCUUUUCUCUGAGCCUCAGUUUCCCCAUCUGUAAACUGGGUUCCUCAAAGUGCCCACUCCUUAGGGACACUGUAAAAAGUCCAUGAGCCUCUCCAGGGAGGUACCUGGGCCAGAGGCGAGCAUCCAGCAGGUGCUCAGUAGCCGGGAGCUACAAAUGCCAUCGCCCCUGCUAGGUUUAAACCUUGCCCUCCCUUCAAAGUGAGAAUGUGGGCAACGCAGGCUGGGUAUGCACAAGUGGUGAGUGAACUAUCCUCACAAAGCCCACACUCUAGGGAACUGUCAAACCUCUUCAUCUCAUUUGAUGAAAUAUAUCAUUAUUCUUAGGGGGGAAAAGUUUCAGACUAGCACGUAUAAUACAAUCUCCGUUUUGAUUUGUAUGUGAGUUUUAUGUGCACGGGGGAAAAACAGGUCAAGAAAAGUUAUAAAUCAGCAGUUAACUGAGGUUAACAGGGCACCUGUUGGGACUCUUACUUUUUGCUCUCUGGAUGUAUUAUUUAAAUAAUAAGUAUGUAUUUCUUGUAUCGUAAAGACAGGAACAAGUAUAUCUUGGCAUUCAAGGGUCUCCCUGGCCCCUUCUUGGGAAGGGUCUGUGCCCCAAGUUCAGUGGCCUGUCCAGGCUGAGGAAGUCAUGAGUGCUGCUUAAAAGCAUGGAUUCUGGUACAGGCGGCCUAGGUUUGAGUCCCAGCUCUGCCCCUGGUAGGCUGGGUGACCUUGGGCAAGUCGUUUAACCUCUCUGUGCUUCCCGUGUGCAGAGCUGGUGGAAGUUUGGAAUACGAGUGGAGGAGGGGAACCUGCCUGUCUGCUAUCAGCAGCUCCUCUGCAGAGCACAGAGAACCUCAUGUCCCAGCCUCGGGGCAGCCUGGCUUGGGGGAGAGUGCAGGGCUCCUUAGAUCUGGAAAUGAUAGCUUAGUAUCUUCUGUUUCUCAGGAUUUCUAGACCCAUAGCGAGAUCUUCAGUCACCUGACCCUUGAGAUUCUCGGUGCUGAGUUGUCUAAUACAGUAGCCACCAGGGAUCCAGCCACCUGACCCUAUGAGAAAAGAACCAUGGCAUCUUUUGAAGUUGUGGCAACAGGUGCCCCUGGGUUUCAUGUCAUGCUUACUGUGAGCCGCUAGCCGAGGGCUGGACACACACCUCUCACAUAAUUCUCAUGGCAACCCAUUAGAGAGAGGAGCUGCCAAGGCCCAGGGAGACUGCCCAAGGUGACCCUGCUGGGGACUGGGGGAGCAGUGUCCCCAGUGCAGCGGGCGCCACAUACUGUCCCGGCCAUCACCCUGUUGGGGGCUCCAGUGCUCACUCCCCUUCUGAGCUGUGAGUUCUAGGGCUCAAUCAUCUGUGCCCUGGGUAAUCCCUCUAUGUGUCCAGAAACCCUAAGAAACAGAAACUAUUGAGCUGUUAUUUCCACAUCUAACAGGCUCUGCACUCUCCCCCAGGCCAGGGCAGGGGUCCCGGGAAGAAUGGGCACGAUCUGGGUACAAGUGAUGCUGUGGCAUCUUCACAGACAGGGCAAGCCCGCUGCACAAAGUGCCCAGGAGGCUGGCAGUGGAAGCAGGGGCCGUGUCCCAGGAGGCAGGAAGGCCUGAGCGUCCAGGGGCCCAGGGCAAGUUACAGCCUUGAUUUUAUUCCUUCUCUAAAGAACGUCCCUCAAAUAUGAAAUCUCAAGUGAUUCUCCUGCCUCACCUGACCUCAGGUGAUCCACCCACCACUGCUUCCCACAGUGCUGGGAUUACAGGCUUGCGUCAUCACACCCGGCCCACUUCUAGGGAUUUAAGGAAACAGUCACGGUGUGUGCAAGCAUUCCUGGAGAAGACUACUUACUAGGGGAGGAUCUGCUCCCUGGGAUGGAAAGGACUCACACCAGCUACGAAGAGAAACGCGCUACAGUCAUUCACAGUCACUACCAAUGACUUAUGGUCAUCAUGUUAGCCAGGAUGGUCUCGAUCUCCUGACCUCAUGAUCUGCCUGCCUCGGCCUCCCAAAGUGCUGGGAUUACAGGCGUGAGCCACCACGCCCAGCCACUGCCACUUCUUACUGGCAAUAGGUAGGCACCAUUUCCGUUCACCUCCCAACAGCCCUGUGGGGCAGGGUUUAUGAUUAUCCCUAUUUCACAGAUGAGAAAACUGAGGCUCAAGGAAAUCAGGUGGCUUACUCGGGGUCACAAAGCUGGUAAGAAACAGGGCCCAGGUCUGUUGGACUCCAGGCUCCCUAAUCUUAUUUAACUCUAUGUAACUAUAUUACGAUGUAGCUUUAUAUGACUAGUAUGUAACUAUCAUUUGAUCCCAUUUUUUUGUGGGAAAAAAAUGCACACACACACACACACACACACACACACACACACACAAAGAAAAACAACCGGAAGGACGCACGCCAAGAAAUCUAACAGUAAAUUCUCCCAGCUGAUGAGUUAUGGAUGACUGUUUAUCUUCGGGCUUAUCUGAUGUUCCUACAGAUUAUAAAUUUUCUACAAAAACGUCCAUUGGUAAUAGGAAAAAAAGUUCUUUUUUUUUUCUUAAUCCCAAAUGUGAUAGUAGGGAAAAGCAUUCCCUAGUUUCAAAAACAAAAGAAAGAGAAAAGCAAAGAAGUCUCUUACCUGGGAGUCCUGGUAAGAAUUCGUGCAAGUCUACCCGAGUUUUAUUUUAAAGGGUAAUGACUCUGGGCCUCUUCCCAGGCCCCCUGAGGGACCAUUAGCAGCCGGGAUUGGGUGUCAAGGGUUGGAGAACACCACCCUACCUUUCAGACUGAACUCCAUUCCUGAGCGAGCCCACGUAGGUCUUCUUUUUAUCCACGGGCAUCACGUCCACGUCACCCCCACUCUCGUUGCUGAUGACUCCCGCGUGCACGGCUGUCUUGCAGAUGCUUGAGGUCUGGAAGCACAGGAAGGGCUG
rnacentral:lncRNA from 10 species